GACUCGAUGGCGCACUGGUAACGCAUCCACUUGAAAUUUCCGAAGGCCAGAUGUUUGUGUGGAAUGGCUGGUUCGAAUCCGGCUCGAGUCA